CGCAUGCACACACUCGUGGGACAACACUGAGGGUUGUUACUCUGUGCAAAAGCACUUGUAAGGAACUCCUGCAAGUUUCCCCUCGUGGGUUCCACCCUCGUUCUGUCACAAUACAAGCUCAGCGCUGGCAUGUCACGACGGCCUGCGCGUGAGGAGGUGCGGGUGGGGAGACGGGGGGCGGAUACGUACGCGGACGGUGAUCCUCCGAAGCCGGCGAGGGUGGAGCUGCGGGACGAGCUGCAGUAAGGGGUGCAGCACAGACGACUGUCAGCGUGAACACAAGAAGAACCGUGAAGUCAAAGGUUUCCCGACACCACAGCGGCACCGGCGUGACAGGUGCACAGAAACACUCGCACAGCUGUAGCUACCCAUGUAAAUGUGAAGAAGUGUCGCCUGCUGCACGUCUGCUCGAGAAGCUCCCUCGCACCGUCACUGCGAGACCGUGGGCUUGUGUUCUGCUCGCAGCGCCACACGCUGCGCAGGACAUGACUGUAUGGAAGAGGGUCCCGAACAGCAACAGAACACAUGGCUCAUUGCGCAGCCCCUCUGCCUCUUUUUCUGCCUUUCCCGGCUAAAGGCGCAGGUGUGUAACGACCGUCUGAAAAGAGCAGCACCUGAGGACCCCCGGCAGCUCCGCUCCCGGUGUCCCCCCCGCGUGUCCCCGCAGACCCUGAGGGCCCGAAGCAAAUACACGCUCCGCCGCCCGCAAAAAUCCAAAGAGGGCCUCGUGACGGAGCAGAGCAAUUACAGACGAGUUCCAUGAAGCCAUUGGCCAGAGACAGAGCAGACGAGAAACAGAGCUAAGUAUCGUCGUCAUAACAGUGAAGGCUAAUAUUAAUUGUUGAGCAACGUCCCAGAAUGGCAGCACAUAAAGUGAGAACAGUAAGGGACCCAACACUAAGCCAUGGGGAACACCAUCAUUGACCUUACACGCUCUUUGACCCCACGCAUCACACAAAAUUCACUAAUACUACAGUACAGUAUAUUCAAGUGCAAUAAUAGGAAAUAAAGCAUAAUUACAAGGAAUGUGAAAACCA
rnacentral:lncRNA from 1 species